rnacentral:rRNA from 1 species
AGAGUUUGAUCCUGGCUCAGAAUCAACGCUGGCGGCGUGCCUAACACAUGCAAGUCGAACGAGAAAGUGGAGCAAUCCAUGAGUAAAGUGGCGCACGGGUGAGUAACACGUGACUAACCUACCCUUGAGUGGGGGAUAACCUGGGGAAACCUUGGCUAAUACCGCAUAACACCUACGGGUCAAAGGGGCAAUUCGCUUAAGGAGGGGGUCGCGGCAGAUUAGUUAGUUGGCGGGGUAAUGGCCCACCAAGACAGUGAUCUGUAUCCGGCCUGAGAGGGCGCACGGACACACUGGAACUGAAACACGGUCCAGACUCCUACGGGAGGCAGCAGUGGGGAAUUUUGCGCAAUGGGGGAAACCCUGACGCAGCAACGCCGCGUGGAGGAUGAAGUCCCUUGGGACGUAAACUCCUUUCGACCGGGACGAUUAUGACGGUACCGGAAGAAGAAGCCCCGGCUAACUUCGUGCCAGCAGCCGCGGUAAUACGAGGGGGGCGAGCGUUGUUCGGAAUUAUUGGGCGUAAAGGGUGCGUAGGCGGUUCGGUAAGUUUCGUGUGAAAUCUUCGGGCUCAACUCGAAGCCUGCACGAAAUACUGCCGGGCUUGAGUGUGGGAGAGGUGAGUGGAAUUUCCGGUGUAGCGGUGAAAUGCGUAGAUAUCGGAAGGAACACCUGUGGCGAAAGCGGCUCACUGGACCACAACUGACGCUGAUGCACGAAAGCUAGGGGAGCAAACAGGAUUAGAUACCCUAGUAGUCC